rnacentral:rRNA from 1 species
UACGUAGGGUGCGAGCGUUGUCCGGAAUUACUGGGCGUAAAGAGCUCGUAGGUGGUUUGUCGCGUUGUUCGUGAAAACUCACAGCUUAACUGUGGGCGUGCGGGCGAUACGGGCAGACUGGAGUACUGCAGGGGAGACUGGAAUUCCUGGUGUAGCGGUGGAAUGCGCAGAUAUCAGGAGGAACACCGGUGGCGAAGGCGGCAUCCUGGACCGGCAUGACGCUGAGGAGCGAAGCCAGGGGAGCAAACGGG